AACCUCGUAACUCAAUUGGAUAGAGUAUCUGAUUACGAAUCAGAAAAUAAAGGUUCGAAUCCUUUCGAGGUUA
rnacentral:tRNA from 1 species